UUGUGACCACCCGGUUGGUUAUCUCUGGCACAUGUUCUGAUGCAGCCAUGGAAACAGGGAGGGAGUUAGCUCGACUCCUGCUGGUCUCAAGUCUGAGAUUUCCAGGGUUUGAGCAUGCUCCACCUCACCAACUCUACGCCAGUUCCUCUGGUGGCACGGUUCAUAUGCCCCGCAGAGCCCUUAACAUGUUAUGGUAAUCCUGACCCAGGAGUACCUUUGGGUGACCCUCGGCCAUCAUGGCUGCCCUGAGAGCCUUCCCAAGAGCCAGAGCAGGGUUGGUUGUUUGUUCUGAUGCAUAGGCGUUCAUAUAAAUGACAGAAGAUAUGAGGAGGGCGAGCUAGACAGGGCUCUCAGUGAGUCCAGUGCUGUCCAGCAAGCCUGAUGGCUGUAGUCCCAGCGGAGGAGGCAGUGUGAGGAGUGUCCAUGGGCUGCUGGACAGCUACUCUAGCCAAUCAGUGAGCUCCAGGUUCAGUGAGAGACACUGCGUCAAAAAAUAAGGUGGAGAGUGACUGAGGAAGACACCAGUCUCUAGCUUCCACACACCUGAGGAUUCUAAGACCCGCGUACCUGUAUACACAUGAACAACACACACACACACACACACACACACACACUCCUCCUAGAAGAGUAGCGGUUCUAGACAGCUCUGUCCAACAGAACUUUCUUCAGUGAUGGGAACGUUUGGUACCCAGGUGGUGUCCAAUAUGGUAGCCACCUAUGGUGAUUGAACACAUGAAAUCAGGAAUGGUAUUUUAAUUGAAAGUACACUUAACUUUUAAUUUUUUAUAUUUAUACUUAUUUACAUUUGUUUGUUUGUAUAUGUGCCAUGCUAUGCAUCUGGACCUCAUGAGGUAACUUGAAGAAAUAGAUUCUUUCUUUCCACCAUGCGGGUCCCAGAAGUGAACUCGGGCCAUCAGACUUAGGGGUAAGCACCUUUACCCACUGAGCUGUCUCACUGGCCCUAAUUUUAAUCCCAUAGCCACUUGUGCUUUAAGGCUCCCCCGACGUUCCAGGACUCAGGACCACUUUAUAUGUGGGACAAAGUGAUUCCCCAGCGGACAUAUAGGUGGUCCAGGCCCAGAUCCACCCCAGCAUCCAGUGCCAGGGUGCAGGCAGUAGGCUGUACCAACCCCCUCAGGCCUUCGGUUACCAUUCCAGUUUCAUUUCUAGGUUAGGAAAGUUUCUUUGUGCAGAGGGUACUGCGGGGUAGGUGGGAUCCUAGCCUAUACACAGGACUGCUUGGCUCCUCCCAGAAGACUCUAUGGUUGUAACUUUCAGCUUUGCCACCAAUUCAUUCAUCAGACAAGCCCUGUGCAUCUCCACACGCCUGUCCCAGGGCUACGUUCUUCAUUCCUUUUGUUGUUACUGUAGUUGUCUUUGAGAUCGGGUCUCACUAUGUAGCCUUGGCUGGCCUAGAACUCACUCUGUAGACCAGGCUGGCUUCAAACUCACAGAGAGACUCUGCCUCCCUCAGUACUGAGAUUAAAGACCUGUACCACAAUACCCGCUGAGGGUUGUUUGUUUGUUUGUUUGUUUGUUUAUUCUUAUUACUUUUUGAGACGAGGUCUUACUGUGGAGUUGAAGCUGGCUGCAUUUUGUAAUCCUCCUGCCUCAGUCUCCUGAGUUUUGGGGAUUACAGGCAUAAACCACUAAACCAGCUUCCUGGGUAGCAUUUUGAUAGGACUUUAGGCAAGCAGUCUCCUCACAUGGUAUGUGAACCAGGUACGAUGGUUCAGGUAACUCUCCGCUCAUUCAGGAUAGCUAUCAAGGAGUUGACUUUCUUCAGUUACUUCUCCUGCAUGUCACCUCAUAUAAAAUGAAAAUCU
rnacentral:lncRNA from 1 species